rnacentral:rRNA from 1 species
GACGAACGCUGGCGGCGUGCCUAAUACAUGCAAGUUGAGCGCUGAAGGUUGGUACUUGUACCAACUGGAUGAGCAGCGAACGGGUGAGUAACGCGUGGGGAAUCUGCCUUUGAGCGGGGGACAACAUUUGGAAACGAAUGCUAAUACCGCAUAAAAACUUUAAACACAAGUUUUAAGUUUGAAAGAUGCAAUUGCCUCACUCAAAGAUGAUCCCGCGUUGUAUUAGCUAGUUGGUGAGGUAAAGGCUCACCAAGGCGAUGAUACAUAGCCGACCUGAGAGGGUGAUCGGCCACAUUGGGACUGAGACACGGCCCAAACUCCUACGGGAGGCAGCAGGAGGGAAUCUUCGGCAAUGGACGAAAGUCUGACCGAGCAACGCCGCGUGAGUGAAGAAGGUUUUCGGAUCGUAAAACUCUGUUGGUAGAGAAGAACGUUGGUGAGAGUGGAAAGCUCAUCAAGUGACGGUAACUACCCAGAAAGGGACGGCUAACUACGUG